GACGAAGGGGGCUAGCGUUGUUCGGAAUUACUGGGCGUAAAGCGAGUGUAGGUGGUUGUCCAAGUUGGAUGUGAAAGCCUUGAGCUCAACUCAAGAAAUGCAUUCAGGACUGGGCGGCUAGAGGACCGGAGAGGAUAGUGGAAUUCCCAGUGUAGUGGUGAAAUACGUAGAGAUUGGGAAGAACACCAGUGGCGAAGGCGGCUCACUGGCCCGGUACUGACGCUGAGGUGCGAAAGCGUGGGGAGCAAACAGG
rnacentral:rRNA from 1 species